rnacentral:rRNA from 1 species
UAAUACGAGGGGUGCUAGCGUUGUCCGGAUUUACUGGGCGUAAAGGGUACGUAGGCGUUUUAAAAAGUUGAAUGUUAAAUAUCUUAGCUUAACUAAGAAAGUGCAUUCAAAACUGUUAAAAUAGAGUUUGAGAGAGGAACGCAGAAUUCAUGGUGGAGCGGUGACAUGCGUAGAUAUCAUGAGGAAAGUCAAAUGCGAAGGCAGCCUUCUGGCUCAAAACUGACGCUGAGGUACGAAAGCGUGGGGAGCGAACAGGAUUAGAUACCCUGGUAGUCCACGCCGUAAACGAUGAGUAUUUGGUGCUGGGGGAUUCGACCCUUUCAGUGCCGUAGCUAACGCGAUAAAUACUCCGCCUGGGGACUACGAUCGCAAGAUUG